UUUGAACCGCAUGGUUCAAAAGUGAAAGACGGUCUUGCUGUCACUUAUAGAUGGAUCCGCGCUGCAUUAGCUAGUUGGUAAGGUAACGGCUUACCAAGGCAACGAUGCAUAGCCGACCUGAGAGGGUGAUCGGCCACACUGGAACUGAGACACGGUCCAGACUCCUACGGGAGGCAGCAGUAGGGAAUCUUCCGCAAUGGGCGAAAGCCUGACGGAGCAACGCCGCGUGAGUGAUGAAGGUCUUCGGAUCGUAAAACUCUGUUAUUAGGGAAGAACAUAUGUGUAAGUAACUGUGCACAUCUUGACGGUACCUAAUCAGAAAGCCACGGCUAACUACGUGCCAGCAGCCGCGGUAAUACGUAGGUGGCAAGCGUUAUCCGGAAUUAUUGGGCGUAAAGCGCGCGUAGGCGGUUUUUUAAGUCUGAUGUGAAAGCCCACGGCUCAACCGUGGAGGGUCAUUGGAAACUGGAAAACUUGAGUGCAGAAGAGGAAAGUGGAAUUCCAUGUGUAGCGGUGAAAUGCGCAGAGAUAUGGAGGAACACCAGUGGCGAAGGCGACUUUCUGGUCUGUAACUGACGCUGAUGUGCGAAAGCGUGGGGAUCAAACAGGAUUAGAUACCCUGGUAGUCCACGCCGUAAACGAUGAGUGCUAAGUGUUAGGGGGUUUCCGCCCCUUAGUGCUGCAGCUAACGCAUUAAGCACUCCGCCUGGGGAGUACGACCGCAAGGUUGAAACUCAAAGGAAUUGACGGGGACCCGCACAAGCGGUGGAGCAUGUGGUUUAAUUCGAAGCAACGCGAAGAACCUUACCAAAUCUUGACAUCCUUUGACAACUCUAGAGAUAGAGCCUUCCCCUUCGGGGGACAAAGUGACAGGUGGUGCAUGGUUGUCGUCAGCUCGUGUCGUGAGAUGUUGGGUUAAGUCCCGCAACGAGCGCAACCCUUAAGCUUAGUUGCCAUCAUUAAGUUGGGCACUCUAAGUUGACUGCCGGUGACAAACCGGAGGAAGGUGGGGAUGACGUCAAAUCAUCAUGCCCCUUAUGAUUUGGGCUACACACGUGCUACAAUGGACAAUACAAAGGGCAGCGAAACCGCGAGGUCAAGCAAAUCCCAUAAAGUUGUUCUCAGUUCGGAUUGUAGUCUGCAACUCGACUACAUGAAGCUGGAAUCGCUAGUAAUCGUAGAUCAGCAUGCUACGGUGAAUACGUUCCCGGGUCUUGUACACACCGCCCGUCACACCACGAGAGUUUGUAACACCCGAAGCCGGUGGAGUAACCUUUUAGGAGCUAGCCGUCGAAGGUGGGACAAAUGAUUGGGGUGAAGUCGUAACAAGGUAGCCGUAUCGGAAGGUGCGGCUGGAUCACCUCCUUU
rnacentral:rRNA from 1 species